AAAGCCGGCAAUGUCAGUAUUGUUGUUUAAUUAUUUGGGGCGCGUGUAUCAAACAGGUGCGUGUAGCAAUGUUGUGAAGAACUAUAUUCAUAACAUAUCACGCAUAUCAGAUGUCUUAACAUCAAAACCCAUUGAUUGUAGUGUGACAGUCCAGGGAUGGGUAAAAGGCCUGAGGAAGAUGAAGGACUUGACAUUUGUCGAUAUUAAUGAUGGCUCUUGUGUAAAAAGAUUGCAGAUUUUGAUUCCAACCCGCGACAAACCCAAUCAACUGGCAUUUGGAGCGUCAGUGAGAGCAUCUGGAUUACUUAAAACAAAUAGUAAAGGUGAUUUGGAACUGUCGGCGAGUCACAUUCAAGUAAUCGGGCCUUGUGUUUUCACAGAUGGUUAUCCAUUCGCAGCCAGGAAAUCCUAUCCACCCGAUUAUGUGCGUCAGUUUUUGCAUUUAAGGUCAAGAACAACUACUUUUGGUGCUCUUCUGCGGAUGCGAGGAGCUGUGUCACAUACUGUACACAAAUAUUUCAAUAAACUUGGUUUUCUUUAUAUUCACACUCCAAUAUUAACAGCUAAUGACUGUGAAGGUGCAGGAGAAGUCUUUCUUGUAAUGCCUGAAAGUAAAAAGUUACGUGAAGAAAUGUCAAAGUCAGGAUGCAGUGAAGAAGAAGCAUAUUUCGAUUCUAAAGUAUUUCUCACAGUUUCAGGACAGCUACAUUUGGAAGCUGUACUAAGGGGAAUUGGUAAUGUUUACUGUUUUGGCCCAACAUUUCGUGCGGAGAAUUCACGCUCUGGCAGACAUCUUUCUGAAUUCUACAUGAUUGAGGCAGAACUGGCAUUUUCUGAUAACCUGGAUGAUGUGUCUGCUGUGGCAGAAGGUAUAGUCCGUGCAUCAGCAGAAUGUUUGUUGGCAGAGCAUCCUGAUGAUGUAGAGCUCUUGGCAGGAAAAGAAAGAUGCAGAGUUCUUGAGUCAGUGCUGAAUCCAGACCCUUUCCCUAAAGUAAUGCGCAGUGAAGCUGCUGUGGCCCUUGGCAUUGACCCUGAUGCUCCAUUGUCACGAGAACAUGAACUAGAGAUAGUGAACCGGUUUGGUGGAGGAAGGCCUGUGUUUGUUUAUGGAGCACCAGCAUCUACAGCCCCUUUCUACGCUAAGCAAUCUAGUAAACCAGGAGAGGUUGAAUCUUUGGAGUUGCUGGCUCCUGUUGUUGGUGAACUAGUUGGUGGAAGUAUUCGUGAAGACAACCCAGAUGUCUUACAAGAAAAGCUAUUGAAUCUUGGUUUACAAGAAUCACUUGCCUGGUAUCUGGACAUACGUCGCUUUGGAAGCAUCCCUUCUGGAGGAUUUGGACUCGGUUUUGAAAGACUGCUUCAAACAUUGUUGGACGUGCACAACAUACGGGACACAGUUCCAUUCCCUCGGUGGCCUCACAAUUGUAAAGCCUGAGGAAUGUUUUGUCUGUACUCGGGGCCAGUUUUCCGUGCGCCACCCUAUAUUAUUUCUCUGCUAUCAGCCACACAAGGCUACGGUUGGCUAAACGAGAGGUUCUGCAGAAUCACAGAAUUUACUUCUAAAAGAAUUGAAGCAAGAACCAGGAAGGAAUGUCUGCAGUGUACUGUGUUCUGUCUUCCAUGAAGUGAUGAUAGAAAUGCCAAGCCAAAGUUUGGAUAGUGAGUAGCCAAACAAUUAAGGCUUUUGAGGAUAUCUUGAAUCCCCGAAACUGUCUCAAAAAAUGGAAAGAAGUGUUCUGUAACUGUAUAAAAUGCUGUUUGCAUUAAACCCUCUUGUUGAACAUUUU